rnacentral:rRNA from 1 species
UUACGAAGGAUACAGAUGGGCAUGCGUACCAUUAGCUAGAUGGUAAGGUAACGGCUUACCAUGGCUAUGAUGGUUAGGGGUUCUGCAAGGAAGAUCCCCCACACUGGUACUGAGACACGGACCAGACUCCUACGGGAGGCAGCAGUGAGGAAUAUUGGUCAAUGGAGGCAACUCUGAACCAGCCAAGCCGCGUGAAGGAAGACUGUUCUAUGAAUUGUAAACUUCUUUUGUGACAGAGUAAAGAUAGCUACGCGUAGUUAUUUGCAAGUAUGUCAUGAAUAAGCAUCGGCUAACUCCGUGCCAGCAGCCGCGGUAAUACGGAGGAUGCAGGCGUUAUCCGGAUUUAUUAGGUUUAAAGGGUGUUCAGGCUGUCUGGUAAGUCAGAGGUGAAAGUCGGUUGCUUAACGAUCGAAUUGCCUUUGAAACUGUCAGACUUGAGUAUGGAUGUGGUAGGCGGAAUGUGUAGUGUAGCGGUGAAAUGCAUAGAUAUUACACAGAACUCCAAUUGCGAAGGCAGCUUACCAAACCAGCACUGACGCUGAAGCACGAAAGCGUGGGUAGCGAACAGGAUUAGAUACCCUGGUAGUCCACGCAGUAAACGAUGCUCACUCGCUGUUGGCAAUACACCGUCAGCGGCUAAGGGAAACCGAUAAGUGAGCCACCUGGGGAGUACGAUCGCAAGAUUGAAACUCAAAGGAAUUGACGGGGGCCCGCACAAGCGGUGGAACAUGUGGUUUAAUUCGAUGAUACGCGAGGAACCUUACCUGGGCUUAAAUGUGAAGUGCAUUGUUUGGAAACAGACAUUUCCUUCGGGACUCUUUACAAGGUGCUGCAUGGUUGUCGUCAGCUCGUGCCGUGAGGUGUCGGGUUAAGUCCCAUAACGAGCGCAACCCCUAUUGUUAGUUACCAGCGCGUAAAGGCGGGGACUCUAACGAGACUGCCGGUGUCCACCGCGAGGAAGGUGGGGAUGACGUCAAAUCAGCACGGCCCUUAUGUCCAGGGCUACACACGUGUUACAAUGGUCGGUACAGAGGGCAGCUAGACAGCAAUGUCAAGCGAAUCUCAAAAGCCGAUCCCAGUUCGGAUUGGAGUCUGCAACCCGACUCCAUGAAGGUGGAAUCGCUAGUAAUCGCGCAUCACCCAUGGCGCGGUGAAUACGUUCCCGGGC